rnacentral:rRNA from 1 species
AAUGGGCGAAAGCCUGACGGAGCAAUACCGCGUGAGGGACGAAGGUCUGUGGAUUGUAAACCUCUUUUGUUGGGGAAGAUAAUGACGGUACCCAACGAAUAAGCAUCGGCUAACUCCGUGCCAGCAGCCGCGGUAAGACGGAGGAUGCAAGCGUUAUCCGGAAUUAUUGGGCGUAAAGCGUACGUAGGCUGUUUCAUAAGUCUGUUGUCAAAGCGCGAGGCUCAACCUUGUAAAGGCAAUGGAAACUGCGAGACUAGAGAGAGAUAGGGGCAGGAGGAAUUCCAGGUGUAGCGGUGAAAUGCGUAGAUAUCUGGAAGAACACCAGUGGCGAAAGCGUCCUGCUGGAUCUCAACUGACGCUGAAGUACGAAAGCUAGGGGAGCGAAUGGGAUUAGAUACCC